UUUUUACAUACUAAUAUAUCUAUCUUGUUGAGUAGUACUUAACAAGUUCAAACGAAUAAGUGGAUCCAAUAGAAACAAUUCAUUUCGCAUUUUAGGAAGGAAUCAAAUAAAAUAAUAUCAUCUUGUUUCGAUACUAAAUUUUGUUAGGAAAUUGGUGGGUGAAGCAGACACGCAGCUAAAAUAAAAUUGGAAGAAAAUAAAGAACAAGCACACUAGAGGACACCAGAAAUUACGUGGUUCGGCUUUUAGCCUACGUCCACGGGCGAAGACAGAAAGAAAUUAUUUUACUAGUGAAAAGGAGUUACAAGUAUUGUAGUAUUUUAGUUCACUUCCCAAAAACUCCAAUACAACCAAACUCUCUCAAUCACUGUAACAAGAGCUUAUAAAUGCAAGCUCUUGAACUCUCUCUCAACUCCCUAAAUUGCUC
rnacentral:lncRNA from 1 species